rnacentral:rRNA from 1 species
UACGUAGGGGGCUAGCGUUGUCCGGAAUUAUUGGGCGUAAAGAGCGUGUAGGCGGCCAGGUAGGUCUGCUGUGAAAACUCGAGGCUCAACCUCGAGACGUCGGCGGAAACCAUCUGGCUAGAGUCCGGAAGAGGAGAGUGGAAUUCCUGGUGUAGCGGUGAAAUGCGCAGAUAUCAGGAAGAACACCCGUGGCGAAGGCGGCUCUCUGGGACGGUACUGACGCUGAGACGCGAAAGCGUGGGGAGCGAACAGG